rnacentral:rRNA from 1 species
UACGUAGGUGGCGAGCGUUGUCCGGAUUUACUGGGCGUAAAGGGAGCGUAGGCGGAUUUUUAAGUGAGAUGUGAAAUACUCGGGCCCAACCUGAGUGCUGCAUUUCAAACUGGAAGUCUAGAGUGCAGGAGAGGAGAAUGGAAUUCCUAGUGUAGCGGUGAAAUGCGUAGAGAUUAGGAAGAACACCAGUGGCGAAGGCGAUUCUCUGGACUGUAACUGACGCUGAGGCUCGAAAGCGUGGGGAGCAAACAGG